rnacentral:misc_RNA from 1 species
GUUCUUCUUUACUGAAAACCCUGUCGGCUCUCUGCACGUUAUUAAUAAUUUCUCAAUGCUCGUUUCGCCUUCAAACCCUCCACCAAUUAAGGAAGAUCUCUAGAUUUCAAACUUCUUUAACAAAAUCCUUGAAAGCCCAUUUAUCUCCUAAGCACAUCUCCCUCAAUCUCACUAACCUUUCCAAUCUCAUCAAACUCACUAUGUUUCCCAAAAAACCAAUUUCAAGAUUCAUCUUUUUCUCCUUGACUCUCCUCCUAUUACUCACUUCCAAAAUCUCUGUCACUGCCUCUGAAGAUUCACAAAUUGACACUGAAAAUGAUGAUGAAUUGGAAGAAUUAAUAGCAAUAGAUGAGCAAGGGGAAUAUGAAGAUCUGCAACAGCAAGAAGACCAGCAAAAGGAGGCUGAGGUAUUGUCAAAGGCACAGAGGAUAGUUCUUGAGCUAAACAGUGAUAAUGCCAAGAGGGUUAUAAAUGAGAAUGAGUUUGUAUUGAUUCUUGGAUAUGCACCUUGGUGUCCAAGGAGUGCCGAGCUCAUGCCUCAGUUUGCUGAAGCUGCUAAUAAGCUUAAGGAGUUUGGGAGUUCUCUCUUGAUGGCUAAACUUGAUGCUGAAAGGUACCCAAAAGCGGCUUCAAUGCUUGACAUUAAAGGUUUCCCUACUCUGCUUCUAUUUGUCAAUGGAAGCUCUCAGGUUUACACUGGUGGAUUUUCUGCGGAGGAUAUAGUGAUCUGGGCUAGGAAAAAGACCGGUGCACCUGUUAUCAGACUAAGCUCUAUCACUGAGGCGGAACAGUUUCUUAAGAAUUAUCAUAUGUUUAUUCUUGGUUUCUUUGAGAAAUUUGAGGGUCAUGAUUAUGAAGAAUUUGUAAAAGCAGCAAUCUCUGACAAUGAGAUCCAAUUUGUUGAAACAAGUGACCCUGCCGUUGCAAAAGUUCUCUUCCCGGAUAGCAAAUCUACUAAUUUCAUUGGAAUUGUUAAAAGUGAGCCUGAAAGAUACACUGCAUAUGAAGGGACCUUUGAGAUGGACAAGAUAUUGCAGUUUUUGGACUAUAACAAGUUUCCAUUGGUUACCAGACUAACUGAACUAAAUUCAGGCAGAGUUUAUUCCAGUCCUAUCAACCUUCAGGUUAUUGUCUUUGCAGAGGCUGAUGAUUUCAAAAAUCUUAUCCAGCCUCUUCAAGAGGUUGCUAGGAAGUUCAAAUCACAGAUAAUAUUCAUACAUAUAGACGUUGCAGAUGAAAACCUAGCAAAGCCUUUCUUAACUUUAUAUGGGCUAGAAGAGUCAGGAAACACAGUGGUGACUGCUUUUGAUAACAGAAUCCAUUCGAAAUAUUUGUUACAGGCAGAUCCAACGCCAAGCAACAUAGAAGAGUUCUGUUCAGCAUUUCUCAGUGGUAGUCUGUCACCUUACUUCAAAUCACAACCUAUACCUGAUAAUAAAGAAGCAAAUGUCCAGGUCAUUGUAGGAAAGACUUUUGAUGACUUAGUAUUGAGCAGUCCCAAGAAUGUUCUUCUGGAGAUAUACGCCCCAUGGUGCAUCAAUUGUGAGACCACAAGUAAGCAGAUCGAGAAGUUGGCAAAGCAUUUCAAAGGUUUGGAAACUUUAGUAUUUGGAAAGAUAGAUGCUUCUGCCAAUGAACAUCCAAAACUGCAGGUACACUGUAAGCCUUGUAAAUCUUUUAUUAUGCAUCUACAGGAAAACAGCUUAAACUGAACACAACAUUCUGGGUAAUGUUUUGUCUGGAUGGGCCAUGACAUUUUCUCUUGUUCAAUAUUGUUCUGUCAAUUUGUUGUUCUGUGAUGGCUUUUUGGAAUCUGGUUAGAUGGCAACAAAAUGGUUAAGAAGAUCAGAAUUUUAGGCACAGAGAUGGUUUUUCUCCAGCAUCUAAGGGUUGCUAGAAUUUCAUUUAUGGGAAAGAGUUUUUUGGUCCUUGAGUUGAAAUUUUGCCAUGACUGAUGAUGCGAACUGAUAAUAAUUAAUUAUUGCAGGUAGAUGAUUACCCAACACUUCUAUUUUACCCUGUGGGUGAUAAAGUAAAUCCGGUAAUCAAAUCAGGAUGUUUUCAUUUCAAUUCCCUUUUCUUCGUCUCAUUUCUAAUUUCAGGCAUGUUUUAGUAAUCUGAAUCAUGAAAUCAAAUUUUCUGUCCAGAUCAAGCUUUCAACAAAAUCUAGCUCAAAGGACUUGGCAGCAGUCAUCAACAAAUAUUUAAGAGCCGAAGAAAAAUCUACCAAGGAUGAAUUAUAGAAAUAUAGCGAAUGAGGAUACAAAAAUUUAGUUAGUAAGAGAAGGCUUAAGCUGGAUGAGAUUCUCCACAGAAUCCUGAAAGUAAAUUUUUUCAGAAAGUGCUGAAAGAAAUGUUACAAAACCCUAAAGUAAUUAAACUUGCUUGCAUAUGUUUGGAUAUUUUUCAAGGUUACAACAACAGCAAGCAGUGGUGGAUAAUAAAAGCAAACCUAGAAGAUCUAUAUUCUUAAAGUCAUGUAUUUAGCUCCCUGUAUUUUGAUCUGUGUUAAUUUAAGUAUGCUUCUUGGUAUGACACAGUAACAAGAAAAUGUGCUACUGUUUAAUGCCUUAAUGGAGUUUAUCAUUGAUUAAUUCAAAUAUCCUGAUGACAGAAAAGAGGCUGGUUACUGUUUUGUGCUUUUGUGGAAACCUGGAGAAGAGACCUGGAAUUAAGUUCCUGG